rnacentral:misc_RNA from 1 species
GAUGAAGAACGUAGCGAAAUGCGAUACGUAAUGUGAAUUGCAGAAUUCAGUGAAUCAUCGAAUCUUUGAACGCACAUUGCGCCCCCUGGCAUUCCGGGGGGCAUGCCUGUCCGAGCGUCAUUUCUGCCCUCAAGCACGGCUUGUGUGUUGGGUGUGGUCCCCCCGGGGACCUGCCCGAAAGGCAGCGGCGACGUCCGUCUGGUCCUCGAGCGUAUGGGGCUCUGUCACUCGCUCGGGAAGGACCUGCGGGGGUUGGUCACCACUAUAUUUUACCACGGUUGACCUCGGAUCAGGUAGGAGUUACCCGCUGAACUUAAGCAUAUCAAUAAGCGGAAGA